rnacentral:rRNA from 1 species
UUUUCUGGAAACAGAGAAGUGCUUUAGCAAUAAAGAACCCGGUGACAGGUGCUGCAUGGCUGUCGUCAGCUCGUGUCGUGAGAUGUUGGGUUAAGUCCCGGCAACGAGCGCAACCCUCGCCUUUAGUUGCCAGCAUUCAGUUGGGCACUCUAGAGGGACUGCCGGUGUCAAACCGGAGGAAGGUGGGAUGACGUCAAGUCCUCAUGGCCUUUAUGUCUAGGGCUACACACGUACUACAAUGGCCGGUACAAAGGGCAGCCACUCAGCGAUGAGGCGCUAAUCCCAUAAAGCCGGUCUCAGUCCGGAUCGCAGUCUGCAACUCGACUGCGUGAAGUUGGAAUCGCUAGUAAUCGUAGAUCAGCAUGCUACGGUGAAUACGUUCCCGGGCCUU